rnacentral:rRNA from 1 species
AGAGUUUGAUCAUGGCUCAGAACGAACGCUGGCGGCGUGCUUAACACAUGCAAGUCGAACGCGAACGGUUUCUUCGGAAACCUAGUAGAGUGGCGCACGGGUGAGUAACGCGUAAGUUAUCUACCCUCCCAUCUGGAAUAACUCACCGAAAGGUGUGCUAAUACCGGAUACGUUGAUUUAUCAAGAAAGGUGGCCUCUAUUUAUAAGCUACCGUGGGGGGAUGAGCUUGCGUACCAUUAGCUAGUUGGUAGGGUAAUGGCCUACCAAGGCAACGAUGGUUAGCGGGUCUGAGAGGAUGAUCCGCCACACUGGAACUGGAACACGGACCAGACUCCUACGGGAGGCAGCAGUGAGGAAUAUUGCGCAAUGGGGGAAACCCUGACGCAGCGACGCCGCGUGGAUGAUGAAGGCCUUUGGGUCGUAAAAUCCUGUCAGAUGGAAAGAAAUGCUAUUGGUUUAAUAUGCCUUUAGUUUGACGG